UACGUAGGGUGCGAGCGUUGUCCGGAAUUAUUGGGCGUAAAGGGCUCGUAGGCGGUCUGUCACGUCGGGAGUGAAAACACGGGGCUUAACCCCGUGCCUGCUUCCGAUACGGGCAGGCUAGAGUGUGGUAGGGGAGACUGGAAUUCCUGGUGUAGCGGUGAAAUGCGCAGAUAUCAGGAGGAACACCGAUGGCGAAGGCAGGUCUCUGGGCCACUACUGACGCUGAGAAGCGAAAGCAUGGGGAGCGAACAGG
rnacentral:rRNA from 1 species